rnacentral:rRNA from 1 species
UACAGAGGUCCCAAGCGUUGUUCGGAGUUACUGGGCGUAAAGGGCGUGUAGGCGGUCGACUAAGUCUGGCGUGAAAGCUCGCGGCUAAACCGCGAGAGGUCGUUGGAUACUGGUUGACUAGAGGACGGUAGAGGCGUGUGGAAUUCCGGGUGUAGGGGUGAGAUGCGUAGAGAUCCGGAGGAACACCAGUGGCGAAGGCGACACGCUGGGCCGUACCUGACGCUAAAACGCGACAGCAUGGGGAGCGAACGGG